UUUCCUUACCACUCCCUCUGGGCGGAGAAAGCAAACAAACAAGUCACUCAGCAUACAGCAGGUGCUGAGAAAAUGCUCGCCUCUCCUUGUCUGGGGAAUAUUUGCUGUGUCCUGAACUCCCGACCCUGUCGGAACAAUCGCUCAUUGUCUGCUGUGACCACUGCUUCUCUGCUCAUGCUUGUCCCUCCUGCUGUGACAAUGGUCUUCUAUUAAAAGUUUUUAAAGUAUUUGAGACAUAAGCUGGAUGGACCACUCGCACAUUCAGGACACAGGCAUGGAAAACAAAGGAGGGCAGGUGCUAAUAUAGAGGACUGGGGAAAAAAUAAUCAUGUAGAGCCUCUCUGCUGAAUUCCAGACCCAAAUAUCCAACAACCUGACUUGUAUGUCCAAGACAUCCCAAACACAGCAUGUCCACGCUGAGCUCCUGAUUCCCUCCUUCCCAAGCCUCCCUGCAUUUGACCCUUCUGGAACACUAGCAAGGAGGACACAGGGGUGAAAGCCCUUCUCCCUUUCAGUGCAUGUCAACGCUAUCCUGCAGGAUACCCAAGCCAAAAAUACUGGGACCAUUUAUUCCUUCUUUGCACACCCCACAUAACCAACCUAUGAGCUAACAAUGUCUUUGUGCCUUCGAAAUGCAUACAGAGUCUGGCCACAUCUCACCACCAGCAUGCUAAUGCCACCCCACCAUCUAGGCUGUCACAGCAGCCCCCUAAACCUCCCUCACCCCAUCCUGUGCUCUCUUCCCAAUGUAACAGAGACCUGGUCACAUGGAAGGCAGAUUCUGUCACUGCUCCAUCUCCUGAAGCUUCUGUUCUGUCCAAGUAAGAGAUGAGGGCCUCACCAUGCUCGGGAGGCCCAGCACCCCUCUGCUCCUGGCUCCUGCCACAGCACCCACCGACACCUUGUGCUCCUCAGCCAUGCCACCCUGUCCCCUUGAAGCCAUCUCCCAGGAUUCCAGUGGCUCACUUCUUUUCCUGACGUCACGUGCUCAUG